rnacentral:rRNA from 1 species
GGGAAUUUUCCGCAAUGGGCGAAAGCCUGACGGAGCAAUACCGCGUGAGGGAUGACGGCCUAUGGGUUGUAAACCUCUUUUUUCAGGGAGGAAUAAAUGACGUGUACCUGAAGAAUAAGCAUCGGCUAACUCCGUGCCAGCAGCCGCGGUAAGACGGAGGAUGCAAGUGUUAUCCGGAAUCACUGGGCGUAAAGCGUCUGUAGGUGGUCUAGCAAGUCAACUGUUAAAUCUUGAAGCUCAACUUCAAAAUCGCAGUCGAAACUAUUAGACUAGAGUAUAGUAGGGGUAAAGGGAAUUUCCAGUGGAGCGGUGAAAUGCGUAGAGAUUGGAAAGAACACCGAUGGCGAAGGCACUUUACUGGGCUAUUACUGACACUCAGAGACGAAAGCUAGGGUAGCAAAUGGGAUUAGAUACCCCAGUAGUCA